AGAGUUUGAUCAUGGCUCAGAAUGAACGCUAAUAGUAUGCUUUAUACAUGCAAGUCGAACGGAAAGCAAUAUUUUCGUGGCGCACGGGUGAGUAAUAGUGUAGAAUGUUACCUUUUAGUUGAGAACAAAAUACUUAUUUAAGUAGUAAAUUCUUAAUAAUUAAUAAAAGUUAAACUAAGUUUUCUUUGUUUAAUCUGCUAAAAGAUAGGUCUGCGCAAGAUUAGGUUGUUGGUAAUUGUAAUAGCUUACCAAGCCGAUGAUCUUUAGUUGGUCUUAGAGGAUGAACAACCACACUGGAACUGAAAUAAGGUCCAGGCUAAGUUUUUGGCCAGCAGUAAGGAAUAUUGGACAAUGAACGAAAGUUUGAUCCAGCAAUACUAUAUGAAUGAUGACGACUGGUAUUGGUUGUAAAGUUCUUUCGUUAAAAAUGAUAAUGACAUUAUUUAAAGAAUUAGUCCCGGCUAAUACUCGUGCCAGCAGCCGCGGUAAAACGAGGGGGACAAGCGUUAUUCAUCAUGAUUGGGCGUAAAGGGUUCGUAGACGGUAAAGUAAGUUUCUUGUUAAAAAUUAAAGCCUCACUUUUAAACAGCUUGUAAAUACUGCUUUACUUGAGUUUUAAUACAGGAGAAUAGAAUUUUAUUUGUAAGGGUAAAAUCUAACUAUAAAUAAAGGAAUGCUCGUAGCGAAGGCGAUUCUCUGGUAAAAACUGACGUUGAGGAACGAAAGUAUGGGUAGCAAAUAGGAUUAGAAACCCUGGUAGUCCAUACUGUAAAUU
rnacentral:rRNA from 1 species